rnacentral:rRNA from 2 species
GAUGAACGCUGGCGGCGCGCCUAACACAUGCAAGUCGAACGGUUAAAGCACCUUUUAGGUGUGUAUAAAGUGGCGAACGGCUGAGUAACACGUGGGCAACCUGCCCUCCUCUUGGGGAUAGCCUCGGGAAACCGAGGAUAAUACCCGAUACUUCAAUGUGGCCGCAUGACGACAUUGAGAAAGCUUUUGCGGAGAAGGAUGGGCCCGCGGCCUGUUAGCUUGUUGGUGGGGUAGAGGCCUACCAAGGCAAUGAUGGGUAGCUGGGUUGAGAGACCGACCAGCCAGAUUGGGACUGAGACACGGCCCAGACUCCUACGGGAGGCAGCAGUGGGGAAUCUUGCACAAUGGGCGAAAGCCUGAUGCAGCGACGCCGCGUGCGGGACGAAGGCCUUUCGGGUUGUAAACCGCUUUUCAGCAGGGACGAGGCGAAAGUGACGGUACCUGCAAAAGAAGCCCCGCUAA